rnacentral:rRNA from 1 species
GAUGAACGCUGGCGGCGUGCCUAAUACAUGCAAGUCGAACGCAUUGUGGUUGAAAUGAUAUGAAGAACUUGUUCAGAUUUGAUUUUCAACAUUGCAAUGAGUGGCGAACGGGUGAGUAACACGUGGGAAACCUACCUCUUAGCAGGGGAUAACAUUUGGAAACAAAUGCUAAUACCGUAUAAUAAUUAAAACCGCAUGGUUUUAGUUUAAAAGAUGGUCUUGCUAUCACUAAGAGAUGGUCCCGCGGUGUAUUAGUUAGUUGGUGAGGUAAUGGCUCACCAAGACAAUGAUACAUAGCCGAGUUGAGAGACUGACCGGCCACAAUGGGACUGAGACACGGCCCAUACUCCUACGGGAGGCAGCAGUAGGGAAUCUUCCACAAUGGACGAAAGUCUGAUGGAGCAACGCCGCGUGUGUGAUGAAGGGUUUCGGCUCGUAAAACACUGUUAUAAGAGAAGAAUGACAUUGAGAGUAACUGUUCAAUGUGUGACGGU